ACUUUCAAAGUGCCGGGAUUCCAGGCGUGAACCACCACACUCGGAUGUUGCCUGCAUUUAGAAGUUGUGUUUAAGUGACCUUUCCUAGGAAAAUAUUUGGUAUUUUGAAUAGUCUAACCUAUCCCUUUAGGACUGAAAUACAACAUGUUUGAUGCUGAGGAAAAAAUUAAAAAUUUCUCAGUAAGACCAAACUAUAGGAUACACAGCUUAUCUCCCAGAAGUUUGAGUCUUUCCAAACACUCAGUGCUUUAUUGCACUAUGAAUAAAAUAAAGAUAUAUUUUAGGGGGAAAUAUUUUAAAUCCACAUUUAAGUAGAGACACUGAGCAUGAUAGAAUACUGUUCAAAUCCAAAGGCAACCAAAUCGAGGCACCAUUUUCCCAAACUGGAACAUUCAGACUUCUAUAGGGAGACACAGGCUCAUCUACCCAGCAUCCAGGGGAUCCAGGAAUCCUGGGAGGCACCUUCCUGCAGUUGUCGAAUCCACAUUCAAUGUGGGGACAGGAGCUGUAACCAAUGUCAUCGAAGCCCCUGGACAAUGGGUGCAGACGGAGGCGUUCAUACCACCCGAUCCCAAAGAGGAACGACACACACGGCCUUCCCAGCAGCCAUCAUCGCAGGCUGGGAUUUUCAAAUUUAGGAUUUGUAAAAGAUGAGAAAAGAAACAGCAUGAAGGUUAACAUAACAGAAGAUUUCGCUCUCUGUAAGCCGAUGUACAUCAUGUCGUCCUCAGUAAUGCAUACAUAGUAAGAGUCCUUAUUUAAAAGGAGACAUACGUUUUAAAAAUUAAAUUGAGAUGUAUUAUUUUCAUUAACCAAAUUCCCAGUCCCUUCAUACUAUACUUUGAAUUGGGACAAUUCUAUGCUCUGAAAAUCUGGGCAUUUCUGAGUCUUAAACAAUCAAAAAGCAAAGACAGGCCCCAGUGCCCACAUUUAAGUCAUUCUCUAGAUGCGGCUGAGCAAAAACUAGACAUGUGACUGCGCAUUUGUGAAUUUUAUGGGCUUUUUCUCUUUGAAUCUGGCAGUCAAAGUAGCCAUCCAGCCAAACAGAAGAUCUACAGGGAAAAGAGAUACAUGUGCAUAAGAACAGGAAGUCAGAAUAAAGCCAUUAAUAUCUGAAUCCGAUGCGCUGUGAGAUCGUUCUGUUACGCGACACUAGCGCUUUCCCGCCGCGGAGUCCCAUGGGGUCAGAGGCGUCGUGGCCUUCAGAGAUGCUCGGGCUGCCACCGGGGUUAGCCCUGGGAAAAAUUAAAGCACAGCAACCCUUUGCCCAUCAGAUCUGUCCAUGGAGAAGCAGUGCUGAGAGAGAGAGCCAGAGGCUGCAGGUGACAAGAUGGCCAGGGGCCCCAGGCGUCAGCGACUGACCAGAGGCCAUUGGUCUAUGGUGUCAGGGCAAAGGCUCAGGCUGGGGUGGAGAGGGAGAAUGGAGCAGAGGCUGAAGGCUGCCAGGAACAGCUAGCGGCAUGCCCGAAGGGAGUCCCUGCCCACGUUGGCCUGGGCUGGGCUGUAGGGAACCCACUAGCAGCGUUGGGUCACAAGGUGAAGAGGGGAGGAGCACUGUCUCUAGAGCUCCUGGUCCACUGAGACCACAGUCCUCUCCAAGUGCCCCCAUGUGGACCAGUGGGCAAGGAACUGGCACCCCACUAGAAGCACUGCCGUGGGCUUCUCACCCACACAGCAGGUCCAAGCAGCACUUCUAUGCCAUCCAAAAUGCUUCCCACGUGAAGUCCCCCGGAAUGGGGGGCUGCAGAGCAGCAGGGAGUUUCCUCAGCUCGGUUCACCAACUUCUAAUGUGUUGCCACAAUCGUGCAAUCAUUUGAAGAUAGGCAAGUCCCUUCAAUGUGUGUCACCCAAGGGCAAGACAGCCACUUGUUUUUAAAGGAAUAGACUUUCUGGGGUUGUAUCUCCAUGUAUCAGAUAGCCUAGCCGGUUGUUUCUCUUCACUUUCGGAGCACGUGGCUUUGGUUUCAGCGCAUGUUGUGGAGCUGCGAAUGGAGCUUUAUAAGAUGGGGUGCUCAGAGACUUGGGGAGCCUCCAGAUUUGCUCAUUGGUGCCACGAUCACACUUGCUCCAGCAGC
rnacentral:lncRNA from 1 species